rnacentral:rRNA from 1 species
UGGGGAAUAUUGCACAAUGGGCGGAAGCCUGAUGCAGCGACGCCGCGUGGGGGAUGAAGGCCUUCGGUUUGUAAACUCCUUUCGACAGGGACGAAGCUUUUGUGACGGUACCUGUAUAAGAAGCACCGGCUAACUACGUGCCAGCAGCCGCGGUAAUACGUAGGGUGCGAGCGUUGUCCGGAAUUACUGGGCGUAAAGAGCUCGUAGGUGGUUUGUCGCGUCGUCUGUGAAAUUCCGGGGCUUAACUCCGGGCGUGCAGGCGAUACGGGCUGACUUGAGUGCUGUAGGGGAGACUGGAAUUCCUGGUGUAGCGGUGAAAUGCGCAGAUAUCAGGAGGAACACCGAUGGCGAAGGCAGGUCUCUGGGCAGUAACUGACGCUGAGGAGCGAAAGCAUGGGUAGCGAACAGG